rnacentral:rRNA from 1 species
GACGAACGCUGGCGGCGUGCCUAAUACAUGCAAGUUGAGCGCUGAAGGAUGGUACUUGUACCAACUGGGUGAGCAGCGAACGGGUGAGUAACGCGUGGGGAAUCUGCCUUUUAGCGGGGGACAACAUUUGGAAACGAAUGCUAAUACUGCAUAAAAACUUUAAACACAAGAUUUAAGUUUGAAAGAUGCAAUUGCAUCACUCAAAGAUGAUCCCGCGUUGUAUUAGCUAGUUGGGGAGGUAAAGGCUCACCAAGGCGAUGAUACAUAGCCGACCUGAGAGGGUGGUCGGCCAAAUCGGGAAUGAGACCCGGCCCAAACGCCUACGGGAGGCAGCAGUAGGGAAUCUUCGGACAUGGACGAAAGUCUGACCGAGCCACGCCGCGGGAGUGAAGAAGGGUUUCGGAUCGGAAAACUCUGUUUGUAGGGAAGAACGUUGGUGAGAUUGGAAAGCUCAUCAAGUGACGGUAACUACACAGAAAGGGACGGCUAACUACGUG